rnacentral:rRNA from 1 species
UCGGGGCAGGGUGAGUCGACCCCUAAGGCGAGGCCGAAAGGCGUAGUCGAUGGGAAACGGGUUAAUAUUCCCGUACUUGGUGUUACUGCGAAGGGGGGACGGAGAAGGCUAUGUUGGCCGGGCGACGGUUGUCCCGGUUUAAGCGUGUAGGUGUGUGUUCCAGGUAAAUCCGGUUCACUUUAACACUGAGGCGUGACGACGAGGCACUACGGUGCUGAAGCAACAAAUGCCCUGCUUCCAGGAAAAGCCUCUAAGCAUCAGGUAACACGAAAUCGUACCCCAAACCGACACAGGUGGUCAGGUAGAGAAUACCAAGGCGCUUGAGAGAACUCGGGUGAAGGAACUAGGCAAAAUGGUGCCGUAACUUCGGGAGAAGGCACGCUGACACGUAGGUGAAGUGAUUUACUCAUGGAGCUGAAGUCAGUCGAAGAUACCAGCUGGCUGCAACUGUUUAUUAAAAACACAGCACUGUGCAAACACGAAAGUGGACGUAUACGGUGUGACGCCUGCCCGGUGCCGGAAGGUUAAUUGAUGGGGUCAGCGCAAGCGAAGCUCCUGAUCGAAGCCCCGGUAAACGGCGGCCGUAACUAUAACGGUCCUAAGGUAGCGAAAUUCCUUGUCGGGUAAGUUCCGACCUGCACGAAUGGCGUAAUGAUGGCCAGGCUGUCUCCACCCGAGACUCAGUGAAAUUGAACUCGCUGUGAAGAUGCAGUGUACCCGCGGCAAGACGGAAAGACCCCGUGAACCUUUACUAUAGCUUGACACUGAACAUUGAGCCUUGAUGUGUAGGAUAGGUGGGAGGCUUUGAAGUGUGGACGCCAGUCUGCAUGGAGCCGACCUUGAAAUACCACCCUUUAAUGUUUGAUGUUCUAACGUGGACCCGUAAUCCGGGUUGCGGACAGUGUCUGGUGGGUAGUUUGACUGGGGCGGUCUCCUCCUAAAGAGUAACGGAGGAGCACGAAGGUUGGCUAAUCCUGGUCGGACAUCAGGAGGUUAGUGCAAUGGCAUAAGCCAGCUUGACUGCGAGCGUGACGGCGCGAGCAGGUGCGAAAGCAGGUCAUAGUGAUCCGGUGGUUCUGAAUGGAAGGGCCAUCGCUCAACGGAUAAAAGGUACUCCGGGGAUAACAGGCUGAUACCGCCCAAGAGUUCAUAUCGACGGCGGUGUUUGGCACCUCGAUGUCGGCUCAUCACAUCCUGGGGCUGAAGUAGGUCCCAAGGGUAUGGCUGUUCGCCAUUUAAAGUGGUACGCGAGCUGGGUUUAGAACGUCGUGAGACAGUUCGGUCCCUAUCUGCCGUGGGCGCUGGAGAACUGAGGGGGGCUGCUCCUAGUACGAGAGGACCGGAGUGGACGCAUCACUGGUGUUCGGGUUGUCAUGCCAAUGGCACUGCCCGGUAGCUAAAUGCGGAAGAGAUAAGUGCUGAAAGCAUCUAAGCACGAAACUUGCCCCGA